UACGGGGGGGGCAAGCGUUGUUCGGAAUUACUGGGCGUAAAGGGCUCGUAGGCGGCCAACUAAGUCCGACGUGAAAUCCCCAGCUUAACCUGGGAACUGCGUCGGAUACUGGAUGGCUUGAAUCCGGGAGAGGGAUGCGGAAUUCCAGGUGUAGCGGUGAAAUGCGUAGAUAUCUGGAGGAACACCGGUGGCGAAGGCGGGUCUCUGGGCAGUAACUGACGCUGAGGCGCGAAAGCUAGGGGAGCAAACGGG
rnacentral:rRNA from 1 species